rnacentral:rRNA from 1 species
AGUGAACGCUGGCGGUAGGCCUAACACAUGCAAGUCGAACGGCAGCACAGUAAGAGCUUGCUCUUACGGGUGGCGAGUGGCGGACGGGUGAGGAAUACAUCGGAAUCUACUUUUUCGUGGGGGAUAACGUAGGGAAACUUACGCUAAUACCGCAUACGACCUACGGGUGAAAGCAGGGGAUCUUCGGACCUUGCGCGAUUGAAUGAGCCGAUGUCGGAUUAGCUAGUUGGCGGGGUAAAGGCCCACCAAGGCGACGAUCCGUAGCUGGUCUGAGAGGAUGAUCAGCCACACUGGAGCUGAGACACGGUCCAGCCUCCUACGGGAGGCAGCAGUGGGGAAUAUUGGACAAUGGGCGCAAGCCUGAUCCAGCCAUACCGCGUGGGUGAAGAAGGCCUUCGGGUUGUAAAGCCCUUUUGUUGGGAAAGAAAAGCAGCAGGUUAAUACCCCGCUGUUCUGACGGUACCCAAAGAAUAAGCACCGGCUAACUUCGU